UACGUAGGCAGCGAGCGUUGUUCGGAAUUACUGGGCGUAAAGAGUGUGUAGGCGGUGCUCUAAGUUCGGUGUGAAAUCUCCCGGCUUAACUGGGAGGGUGCGCCGGAAACUGGAGUGCUCGAGCGUGGGAGAGGAAAGCGGAAUUCCUGGUGUAGCGGUGAAAUGCGUAGAUAUUCGCAAGAACACCAGUGGCGAAGGCGGCUCACUGGCCCGGUACUGACGCUGAGGUGCGAAAGCGUGGGGAGCAAACAGG
rnacentral:rRNA from 1 species